rnacentral:rRNA from 1 species
UACGGGGGGGGCAAGCGUUGUUCGGAAUUACUGGGCGUAAAGGGCUCGUAGGCGGCCAACUAAGUCAGACGUGAAAUCCCCAGGCUCAACUUGGGAACUGCGUCUGAUACUGGAUGGCUUGAAUUCGGGAGAGGGAUGCAGAAUUCCAGGUGUAGCGGUGAAAUGCGUAGAUAUCUGGAGGAAUACCGGUGGCGAAGGCGGCAUCCUGGACCGGCAUUGACGCUGAGGAGCGAAAGCUAGGGGAGCAAACGGG